AUAGGUUUGGUCCUAGCCUUAUUAUUAAUUUUAAUUAAACUUACACAUGCAAGUCUCCGCAACCCAGUGAAAAUGCCCUUAAAACUAUUAAAGAUUUAAGGAGCUGGCAUCAGGCACACUAAAAUGUAGCCUACUACGCCUUGUUUAACCACACCCCCACGGGUAACAGCAGUGACUAAUAUUAAGCUAUAAACGAAAGUUUGACUAAGUUAUAAUUACCUAGGGUUGGUUAAUUUCGUGCCAGCCACCGCGGUCAUACGAUUGACCCAAGUUAAUAAUCUUACGGCGUAAAGCGUGUUUACGCCACUAACUAAAUAAAGUCCAUAGUCAACUAAACUGUAAUACGCUCUAGUUGAAAUAAAGAUAGACAAUUAAAAUGACUUUAAUACCGCCGACACACGACAGCCAGGACACAAACUGGGAUUAGAUACCCCACUAUGCCUAGCCAUAAACUCAAGUGGUUGAACAACAAAACCAUUCGCCAGAGAACUACUAGCAAUUGCUUAAAACUCAAAGGACUUGGCGGUGCCCUAAACCCACCUAGAGGAGCCUGUUCUAUAAUCGAUAAACCCCGAUAAACCCAACCCUAUCUUGCCAAUACAGCCUAUAUACCGCCAUCGUCAGCCCACCUUAAAAAAGUAAAACAGUAAGCAAAAUUAUAUUCCAUAAAAACGUUAGGUCAAGGUGUAGCAUAUGAAAGGGAAAGAAAUGGGCUACAUUCUCUACCUUAGAGAACAACGAAUCACAUUAUGAAACUAAAGUGCCUGAAGGAGGAUUUAGUAGUAAAUUAAGAAUAGAGAGCUUAAUUGAAUUAGGCAAUAGGGCGCGCACACACCGCCCGUCACCCUCCUCAAUAUAUAAUACCCCUAUAACUAAUAAAACAUUAAACUAAAGAGGAGAAAAGUCGUAACACGGUAAGUGUACUGGAAAGUGCACUUGGAAUA